AUCACUGUCUGGUUUGGACGAUCUGAUUUCCUCGUGUCAGCAUUGUUCCCACAUCAUCAUAAUUAAUGUUGUUCCAGGUUCAACAUUGCAAGUGACCAAUCACCUUCUUGUGACGUCAUUCCUUUGCGACUUCGAAAUACCCGCCUUCGAUUAUUUCGAAAUACAAGUGAAGAAGCGAAAAACCGCCGCCUGUCCGCCGAAUUUGAAGUCAAUUUAGGAUACUUUCCUUUAAUAAACGAAACUGUGACUCCUUCACAAUGUCAGAUUACCUUGUGGGAGUAGCUGGACCAAACUCUAUUGGUAUUUCAAGUUUGAAAUCCCUGUUUGACCAGACUAACAUUUCAGAUGAGGUACCUCUUGACAUAAAAAUCCUUUUAUGUUGUCAUAAAACUAAUGUUAAAUUCUGCUGUUCUGAUGUUGCAGCUCUGAAAUAUGGCCGAACUGGUGGCAAGUGGCAUCUUGGCAGCUGCACGC